GCGUGGACGCGGCUGCUGGGGCGGGGCAGGGAGGGGGCGCCUGGGCCACGGGGAGUCGGUCCCGGGAAGGGAGGAGGAAGGAGAGAGGGCGGAAAAACAGGAGCCUGCGUAAAUGCGAGCGUCGCUCUCGCUCCCUCUCAGAACAAAAUGCCGACCGGAAGUGCAGCUUGGAGGAAUGACUCCCUCCACCGGCGCCAAACACCAACAGCCUCCCCCUUUCGGCUCGGCUGCUGCCUGGCUUCCUCCUUCUCCUUUGCCUCCUUCUUCAGCUUCCUUCCUUCUAUCUUCUACGAAGUUGUCUCUCUUUCUCUUUCUUUGGUUUUGUUGUUGUCUAUCCAAGUGACUCUUAUCCUUUCAUGGCCCGGAUCACUGGGUUCUUGUUGUUGUUGUUGUUGUGUGUUUUCCGGGCUUAUAUGGCCAUGUUCCAGAAGGUUGUGGAAAACCUUAUUAUCUAGGAAUAUAAGGCCGGACGUUGUGAGGAAGAAGAGUCCUUCCAAGCUGUUCAAUUCGAAGCUGUCAUGCUACAAGAAAGGAGAUUCCACCUGAACAUUAGGAAGAACUUCCUGACUGUGAGAGAUGGUCAGCAGUGGAACUCUCUGCCCCAGAAUGGAGCGAGAGGCUGAGAGAGGAGGGAACAGAGGCUGGAUGGUCAUCUGUCGGGGGUGCUUUGAAUGCAAUUUUCCUGAUUCUAUGUAUAAAUAUGUGAGAGGAACCCGCAGGAGGAGGGAGCAAGCUUGUUUACUGCUGCCCUGGAGACUAGGACGCGGAACAAUGGCUUCAAACUACAAGAAAGGAGAUUCCAUCUGAAUAUGAGGAAGAACUUCCUGACUGUGAGAGCCGUUCAGCAGUGGAACACUCUGCACUGGAAUGUAGUGGAGGCUCCUUCUUUGGAAACUUUUAAAUGGAGGCUGGAUGGCCAUCUGUCGGGGGUGCUUUGAAUGCAAUUUUCCUGAUUCUGUGUAUAAAUAUGUGAGAGGAAUUCAUAGGGAUGAGGGAGCAAGCCUGUUUUCUGCUGCCCUGGAGACUAGGACGCGGAAUAAUGGCUUCAAACUACAAGAAAGGAGAUUCCAUCUGAACAUUAGAAAGAACUUCCUGACUGUGAGAGCCGUUCAGCAGUGGAACUCUCUGCCUCGGAAUGUGGUGGAGGUUCCUUCUUUGGAGGCUUUUAAACAGAGGCUGGAUGGCCAUCUGCCAGGGGUGCUUUGAAUGCAAUUUUCCAGCUUCUUGGCAGGGGGUUGGACUGGAUGGCACACGAGAUCUCUUCCAUCUCUAUGAUUCUAUGAUUUUAUACCCCCCUGUUCUGCAUUGGUCAGACUGCACCUGGAAUCACACUGUGUCCAGGUCUGGGCACCACAAUUGAAGGGAGAUGUUGACAAGUUGGAAUGUGUCCAGAGAAGGAGGACUAAAAUGAUCAAGGGUCUGGAGAACAAGUCAUAUGAGGAGCGUCUUAAAGAUCUGGCCAUGUUUAACCUGCAGAAGCGAAGGCUGAGAGGAGACAUGAUGAGGGCCAUGUAUAACUAUGUAAGGGGAAGUCAUAGGAAGGAGGGAGCAAGCUUGUUUUCUGCUGCCCUGGAGACUACAGGAAAGGAGAUUCCACCUGAACAUUAGGAAGAACUUCCUGACUGUCAGAGUUAUUCAGCAGUGGAACACUCUGCCCUGGAAUGUUCCUUUGGAGGCUUUUAAACAGAGGCUUGUUGGCCAUCUGUCGGGAUGCUUUGAAUGUGAUUUUCCAGCUUCUUGGCAGGGGGUUGGGCUGGAUGGCCCAUGAGGUCUCUUUCCAACUCUAUGAUUCUAUAAAUUGUCAAAAAUUGAAAGCCACCCCAACAACAACAUAAUUUUGUUGUUGUUUCUUUAAAUUGUUCCUACAUGGCAAAGGGAUGGACUGGGCGGCCCUCUUCCAAGUCUAUUAUUAGUUGGUUAUCAGUAGUUCCUUUAAAUAUCUAAUUGUAAAGAUUCCAAAUAGAAGAGGGGAAGGACUCCAAGGGAAGGUGUUCUUUUAAGGAAUGUAUUUCUCAUUCUUUCACUCUUAGAGUAACCACUGGCCAACUGUUCCUGUUUGCACCUGUUUGGGUUUUUUUUUUCACCUAUUAAAAACCACUUUUAUGGUUGUUAUCUUAAAGAAGGAUAUUUCUGGAUUUAAAGGUGAUGAGAAAUGGGUCUUCACUGUACUUCCUUGAAUCCAUGUUGCCUCUUGUCUUUCUAGGUGGCUCCUGUCUCAUGUCUUUUUUUCUCUGUUCCCUAUCUCAGUUUCUGAUGUCUGCAGGAAAACCUGGAGUUCACAGAUAAGGCCUAGGAGCCCCCAGUGGCACAAUGGGUUAAACCCAUUUGCCGGCAGGACUGCUGACUGAAAGGUCGGCGGUUCGAAUCUGGGAAAUGGGGUGAGCUCCUGUCUGUCCGCUCCAGCAUCUCAUGCAAGGACAUGAAAGAAGCCUCCCACCAGAUGGUAAAACAUCUGGGCAUCCCCUGGGCAACAUCCUUGCAAACAGCCAAUUAUCUCACACCAGAAGCGACUUGGAGUUUCUCAAGUCACUCCUGACAUGGAAAGAAAAACUGAUAAGGCCUGAUGUUGUGAAGAGAAAUAAACAUGAUUUGACCAAAAGAA